UAGGGAAUCUUCGGCAAUGGGGGGAACCCUGACCGAGCAACGCCGCGUGAGUGAAGAAGGUUUUCGGAUCGUAAAGCUCUGUUGUUAAGGAAGAACGAGUGUUAGAAUGGAAAGUUCAUGCUGUGACGGUACUUAACCAGAAAGGGACGGCUAACUACGUGCCAGCAGCCGCGGUAAUACGUAGGUCCCGAGCGUUGUCCGGAUUUAUUGGGCGUAAAGCGAGCGCAGGCGGUUAGAAAAGUCUGAAGUGAAAGGCAGUGGCUCAACCAUUGUAGGCUUUGGAAACUGUUUAACUUGAGUGCAGAAGGGGAGGGUGGAAUUCCAUGUGUAGCGGUGAAAUGCGUAGAUAUAUGGAGGAACACCGGUGGCGAAAGCGGCUCUCUGGUCUGUAACUGACGCUGAGGCUCGAAAGCGUGGGGAGCGAACAGG
rnacentral:rRNA from 1 species